UACGUAGGGUGCAAGCGUUGCCGGAAUUAUUGGGCGUAAAGAGCUCGUAGGCGGUCUGUCGCGUCUGCUGUGAAAACUCAGGGCUUAACCCUGAGCUUGCAGUGGGUACGGGCAGACUAGAGUGCGGUAGGGAGACUGGAAUUCCGUGGUGUAGCGGUGAAAUGCGCAGAUAUCAGGAGGAACACCGGUGGCGAAGGCGGUCUCUGGGCCGUAACUGACGCUGAGGAGCGAAAGCCAUGGGAGCGAACAGGA
rnacentral:rRNA from 1 species